rnacentral:lncRNA from 1 species
CCUUGCAAGCCUGUGUCUGAUAUAUUAGAUCAAAACAUAUUCCUGUCUCCAAAUGCUAACAGUAGCACAUUCAAUUCUCUGGAUUUCAGGAGCUAAAGUGGGUGUUGCAGGAAGUUUGGCACUGUUUUUCUUUACAGAAUAAUAAACACAGAUGAUGAUGCUUUGGCUUUAUAUAGAUAUGGAGGCUCUUUACUCAUAAAAGCUGAUUCACAGACAAAUGGUGAUUUUUGGCUUUUAAAAAAUAACUACUGGAGUAGAUAGAAAUAACUGUAAGAAUUUCUCACAGCGCAGACUGGUGAUUUAUUCUCUCUCUUUUUUUUUUUCCUUAGAGACCAUUUUAGAGUUCAUUUUUCUAACCCGUACAUUAGAUUAUUAUAUUCUAUAACACUUUCUGCUUUUCUCUUUUCCAGGAGGCCAGAGCAUAGCUGUGGACCUGUGGCUUCUCUUUCUGUGAGCUCUGACAGAGUCUA